UCCAGACUCCUACGGGAGGCAGCAGUGGGGGAUAUUGCACAAUGGGGGGAACCCUGAUGCAGCGACGCCGCGUGGGUGAAGGAGCGUUUCGGCGCGUAAAGCCCUAUCGGCAGGGAAGAAGGAGGACGGUACCUGACUAAGAAGCCCCGGCUAACUACGUGCCAGCAGCCGCGGUAAUACGUAGGGGGCAAGCGUUAUCCGGAUUUACUGGGUGUAAAGGGGGCGCAGACGGCAGCGCAAGCCAGGAGCGAAAGCCCGGGGCCCAACCCCGGGACUGCUCUUGGAACUGCGCGGCUGGAGUGCAGGAGGGGCAGGCGGAAUUCCUGGUGUAGCGGUGAAAUGCGUAGAUAUCAGGAGGAACACCGGCGGCGAAGGCGGCCUGCUGGACUGCAACUGACGUUGAGGCUCGAAGGCGUGGGGAGCAAACAGGAUUAGAUACCCUGGUAAU
rnacentral:rRNA from 1 species